rnacentral:rRNA from 2 species
AGGCUUAACACAUGCAAGUCGAGCGCCCCGCAAGGGGAGCGGCAGACGGGUGAGUAACGCGUGGGAAUCUACCUUUUGCUACGGAAUAACUCAGGGAAACUUGUGCUAAUACCGUAUGUGUCCUUCGGGAGAAAGAUUUAUCGGCAAGAGAUGAGCCCGCGUUGGAUUAGCUAGUUGGUGGGGUAAAGGCCUACCAAGGCGACGAUCCAUAGCUGGUCUGAGAGGAUGAUCAGCCACACUGGGACUGAGACACGGCCCAGACUCCUACGGGAGGCAGCAGUGGGGAAUAUUGGACAAUGGGCGCAAGCCUGAUCCAGCCAUGCCGCGUGAGUGAUGACGGUCUUAGGAUUGUAAAGCUCUUUCACCGGUGAAGAUAAUGACGGUAACCGGAGAAGAAGCCCCGGCUAACUUCGUGCCAGCAGCCCGCGGUAAUACNAAGGGGGCUAGCGUUGNUCGGAUUACUGGGCGUAAAAGCGCACGUAGGCNGACUUUUAAGUCAGGGGUGAAAUCC